rnacentral:rRNA from 1 species
UACGUAGGGCGCAAGCGUUAUCCGGAAUUAUUGGGCGUAAAGAGCUCGUAGGCGGUUUGUCGCGUCUGCCGUGAAAGUCCGGGGCUCAACUCCGGAUCUGCGGUGGGUACGGGCAGACUAGAGUGAUGUAGGGGAGACUGGAAUUCCUGGUGUAGCGGUGAAAUGCGCAGGAUAUCAGGAGGAACACCGAUGGCGAAGGCAGGUCUCGUGGGCAUUAACUGACGCUGGAGGAGCGAAAGCAGUGGGGAGCGAACAGG